rnacentral:rRNA from 1 species
GGACGACGCUGGCGGCGUGCUUAACACAUGCAAGUCGAACGGUAAGGCCCUUCGGGGUACACGAGUGGCGAACGGGUGAGUAACACGUGGGUGAUCUGCCCUGCACUUUGGGAUAAGCCUGGGAAACUGGGUCUAAUACCGAAUAUGACCAUGGACUUCACGGUUUGUGGUGGAAAGCUUUUGCGGUGUGUGAUGGGCCCGCGGCCUAUCAGCUUGUUGGUGGGGUAAUGGCCUACCAAGGCGACGACGGGUAGCCGGCCUGAGAGGGUGACCGGCCACACUGGGACUGAGAUACGGCCCAGACUCCUACGGGAGGCAGCAGUGGGAAUAUUGCACAAUGGGCGCAAGCCUGAUGCAGCGACGCCGCGUGGGGAUGGCGGCCUUCGGGUUGUAAACCUCUUUCACCAGGGACGAAGCGAGAGUGACGGUACCUGGAGAAGAAGGACCGGCCAACUACGUG